rnacentral:snoRNA from 1 species
CCCCUCUCAGGGUCACACCUGGAGAGUUCCCAUUACUCUGCCAGUGUCGACUAUGGGAGGGAGAGUCAAGCAGAGGCUUAUCCAUUCCAUUCCUAGCUUGGGCAGUGGCGAGAGAGUGGAAGGCAAUCUGCUACAAGU